UUCCUUAAAAGAAGAACAAAGAGGGGUGACUUCUCCUCCACCAAACUGUGAUAUUUGAGCCGCAAUGGACAAAUAUAUCUACGUACAGAAUAGAGAGGCCAGACACAGACACAUGGAUCGAUAUGUGGGAGUCUGCCUAUGAUGGAGAAGUGGAGAGAGGCCUAGGAGAGAUCGUGGCAGUGAGAACAAAGGUGGCUCUAUCCUUGCCUCUAUGUAAUUGUCAUUGUCAAUGUCCCUUGCUUUUCCAAGAUUAAGUAUAGCAAAAACUUACUGGACCUGGAAGACAGCUGGAUUUGGGCAUCUUUUCCUGAGAAGAGUGGUCCAGAUUGUCCAUCUAUGCUGCUGCAAGUGGCAAUAUUUCAUCUUUUUCUGGCUGAGUAAUAUUCCAUGGGAUGUAUGUACCACUUCUUCUUAAACCAGUCAUCUGUUGAGGGGCACUUGGUUUGUUUCCAUGUCUUGGCUAUUAUAAA